AGUGAACGCUGGCGGUAGGCCUAACACAUGCAAGUCGAACGGCAGCACAGUAAGAGCUUGCUCUUACGGGUGGCGAGUGGCGGACGGGUGAGGAAUACAUCGGAAUCUACUUUUUCGUGGGGGGUAACGUAGGGAAACUUACGCUAAUACCGCAUACGACCUACGGGUGAAAGCAGGGGAUCUUCGGACCUUGCGCGAUUGAAUGAGCCGAUGUCGGAUUAGCUAGUUGGCGGGGUAAAGGCCCACCAAGGCGACGAUCCGUAGCUGGUCUGAGAGGAUGAUCAGCCACACUGGAACUGAGACACGGUCCAGAUUCCUACGGGAGGCAGCAGUGGGGAAUAUUGGACAAUGGGCGCAAGCCUGAUCCAGCCAUACCGCGUGGGUGAAGAAGGCCUUCGGGUUGUAAAGCCCUUUUGUUGGGAAAGAAAAGCAGCAGGUUAAUACCCCGCUGUUCUGACGGUGCCCAAAGAAUAAGCACCGGCUAACUUCGUG
rnacentral:rRNA from 1 species